UCCCACUCAUCGUGGGCAGUUUCUCCAGAGUGCAUCCUUUCGGAUUAGCAACAGGAGAUGGGGGUUGCGCUCGUUGCGGGACUUAACCCAACAUCUCACGACACGAGCUGACGACAACCAUGCAGCACCUCGGCUAGUUCCUGACUUUACAGGUCAUCCCCACUUUCAUAGGUCUUACUUCUAGUCGUUCGAGCCCAGGUAAGGUUUUUCGCGUUGCGUCGAAUUAAACCACAUACUCCACCGCUUGUGCGGGUCCCCGUCAAUUCCUUUGAGUUUUAAUCUUGCGACCGUACUCCCCAGGCGGUCGACUUCACGCGUUAGCUGCGGUACUAAGGAAGUCUCCUUCCCCAACACCUAGUCGACAUCGUUUAGGGCGUGGACUAC
rnacentral:misc_RNA from 1 species